GGGGAUGUUUGGUUUCGACAGGGUCGUAGGUACGAACGUUGCACGCCGAGGUGCCCGAGGCCUCGUAAAAACGGGCAAAAAAGUAGCUGGCACUCCCAACUACGCUCUCGCUGCCUAAGUCACAGACCUCUAGGUAGCGCGUCCGUCCGGU
rnacentral:tmRNA from 1 species